rnacentral:lncRNA from 1 species
CGUAUUUAAAAAGAAAAAUUACAUAAUAAAAAUAUUUUUUUUAUUAAUUUUAAAAUAUUUCUGAGAAAUUUCGUUGAUAAGUAAGACUUAAAAAUCUAUAAUAAAUCUUAAAGACAAAUAGAAUUAAGCACAAGCUCAAUAUAAGAAAUCUUCUUCAUCUACCUACUAAAUCAAACUGCAGUGCCAUCACCACGAUUUUCAAAGCUCUACCAGCCUUUCAAGAUCAAGUAUCAACUGGGUAUAUUAAAUCCACACCUUAGAAGUAACAAACUACAAUUUUCUUUCGAUCCGGCUAAGUCCUAAAGAGGGAAUGGAAGAAAAAUUCCUUUGCCGGCUGUAAAUACAGGGGAUAAAUCCUCGACUCCGUUCUAUCAAUGAAGACGAUAACCUUCUCUUCCACUUCCGAUUCGCACAAAGUAGAACUCCAGAGAGCUUAACAAAAAGGAUAUGAAGGCUAUGAAACACCUAAAGGGAAGCCAAAACAACAAAAACACCAAAGAUACAAAGCCCAUUCAGAUGCACUGCAUAAAGAAAGUUACAUACAUACUAAAAAAGAAAGGAAGGCUCACCCUUCAUGGCUUUGCCAUGAACGACGACCCUUGGCUAUUUAGAGAGAUUUUUUUAUGCGAC